rnacentral:lncRNA from 1 species
UUUGCAGCAUCUUUUGUCAAUUUUCCCUUUGUAGCAUUUCUAGCCCAUCUGCAACAUCUCUGAUUAAUUUUUG